rnacentral:rRNA from 1 species
UACCGGAUAUGACCACGUUUUGGGCAUCCACGUGGUGGAAAGGAUUCUGGUCUGGGAUGGGCCCGCGGCCUAUCAGCUAGUUGGUGGGUAAUGGCCUACCAAGGGCGACGACGGGUAGCCGGCCUGAGAGGGCGACCGGCCACACUGGGACUGAGACACGGCCCAGACUCCUACGGGAGGCAGCAGUGGGGAAUAUUGCGCAAUGGGCGAAAGCCUGACGCAGCGACGCCGCGUGAGGGACGAAGGUCUUCGGAUUGUAAACCUCUUUCAGCAGGGACGAAGCGAAAGUGACUGUACCUGCAGAAGAAGCACCGGCUAACUACGUG